rnacentral:piRNA from 1 species
UCCUCAUUCAGACUUGUAAUGAACCCGUGA